GGUGAACGCUGGCGGCGUGCCUAAGACAUGCAAGUCGUGCGGGCCGCGGGGUUUUUGCUUCGCGGUCAGCGGCGGACGGGUGAGUAACGCGUGGGUGACCUACCCGGAAGAGGGGGACAACCCGGGGAAACUCGGGCUAAUCCCCCAUGUGGGCGUGUCCUGUGGGGCACGUUUAAAGGGUUUUAAGCCCGCUUCCGGAUGGGCCCGCGUCCCAUCAGCUAGUUGGUGGGGUAAAGGCCCACCAAGGCGACGACGGGUAGCCGGCCUGAGAGGGCGACCGGCCACACUGGGACUGAGACACGGCCCAGACUCCUGCGGGAGGCAGCAGUGGGGAAUAUUGCGCAAUGGGCGGAAGCCUGACGCAGCGACGCCGCGUGGGGGAUGAAGGCCUUCGGGUUGUAAACCUCUUUUACCACUCACGAAGGCCCCUGGUUUUCUGGGGGUUGACGGUAGGUGGUGAAUAAGGACCGGCUAACUACGUG
rnacentral:rRNA from 1 species